rnacentral:rRNA from 1 species
AGUUGUGGUCAAACCUCCUUGUAUAAGCCUAAUCUCAUCAGACCUUUGAAGUUAAGCAGAGCUGUGUCUCGUUAGUACUUGGAUGUGAGACCGCUGGGAAUAUCAGGUGCCACAGUGG